UACGAAGGGGGCUAGCGUUGUUCGGAAUUACUGGGCGUAAAGGGCGCGUAGGCGGUGUGUCAAGUCAGGCGUGAAAGCCCCGGGCUCAACCUGGGAACCGCGCUUGAGACUGGCACGCUCGAGUUCGGGAGAGGUGAGUGGAACUGCGAGUGUAGAGGUGAAAUUCGUAGAUAUUCGCAAGAACACCAGUGGCGAAGGCGGCUCACUGGCCCGGUACUGACGCUGAGGUGCGAAAGCGUGGGGAGCAAACAGG
rnacentral:rRNA from 1 species